UACGGAGGAUGCAAGCGUUAUCCGGAAUGAUUGGGCGUAAAGCGUCCGCAGGUGGCAAUGUAAGUCUGCUGUCAAAGCGUCUGGCUCAACCAGAUAAAGGCAGUGGAAACUACAUAGCUAGAGUAAGGUAGGGGUAGAGGGAAUUCCUGGUGUAGCGGUGAAAUGCGUAGAGAUCAGGAAGAACACCGGUGGCGAAAGCGCUCUACUGGACCUUAUCUGACAUUGAGGGACGAAAGCUAGGGGAGCGAAUGGG
rnacentral:rRNA from 1 species